AUAAUUGCCAACUAUAAACUCUUCCUAAAUCCGCACUGAAUUUAAAUGUGUCUUCAACUAUGAGUCUAUGAACCUAUAAACCGUAGCCACAUUUAAUUGAUAGUACAAAAGAGAGUGAAAUUGGAUGCUCUGCAUCUCUCACCACAUUGCCAAUGGAGUCCAAUCUUGAAACAUUAACCCAGAGAAGCAGCCUCCCAGUGCCUUAUGUUCAGGAGCUGGCAAAGAGAUCGUUGGCUACAGUUCCAUCUAGAUAUGUAAGACCUGAUCUGGACCCUCCAUUUCUAUCCAAUUCUUCUUCGCCCGAUCAAGUUCCGAUCAUCGACAUGAGCAAAUUGCUUUCUGAAGAAUCCGAGCUCGACAAGUUUCAUAAUGCUUGCAAAGAUUGGGGGUUCUUUCAGUUGAUUAACCAUGGAGUUAGUGAGUCAUUGGUGGAGACAAUGAAAAUAGAAGCUAAAAAUUUAUUUAAUCUUCCGAGUGAUGAGAAAAAGAAAUUUGCUAGUGUGAAUGGAGAAGUUGAAGGGUAUGGUCAAUUAUUUGUUGUCUCCGAAGAACAGAAGCUUGAUUGGUGUGAUGUCUUAAGCCUUACCACUAUCCCUAUCCAUUUGCGGAAGGACAAUUUGUUUCCAAACUUGCCUAUUCCAUUAAGAAAUGCGCUUGAAGCUUACUCGAAAGAAAUGAAAAAUCUUUCUAUGAAAAUAAUAAAUUUAGUGGCAAAAUCUCUAAAAAUAAAACCCAAUGAUGAUUUGGUGGGACUAUUUGAACCAGAAGGGUGGCAGGCAAUGAGAUUGAAUUAUUAUCCUCCAUGUCCACAGCCUGAACUUGUAAUGGGCAUUUCUCCUCAUUCAGAUGCCAGUGGAUUCACCAUUCUUCUGCAAGUCAAUGAAACCGAUGGACUCCAAAUUAAGAAGGACAAAAAUUGGGUUUCGAUUCAACCCGUCGCUAAUGCUUUUAUCAUCAACAUCGGAGACAUGUUUGAGCUUUAUGGUUUAACUAAGCAGAAAGAUAGUACAUUCAGCCGAGUGAAGUCUGCAAGUUGGAGCUGGACGAAGGUUUAGAAUCUGUGAAAAAUCCAAGCUACUUCUUCUUCAAGCUGUUGUUGAUCAGUUCGUCCUUACAGGCAGAGAAGAGGCGGUUUGCUGGAACGGCAAACUGCGGUCAUACUCUGGGCCCUGGCCAUUUUUUUGGUGUGCUAUCUCGUCCUCAACCUACAUUCAGCGCUGUUUUUCCCUCAUUGUGGAAGUCGGUUUCUUCUCCUCGUAUUAAUUUCUUCAUUGGACAACUCUUCACGACCGGAUCGUUAGUCGUUCCUUUGUCGCUCUUAGGAGCAUUAUUCCGGUUAUUGAUGUGGGUUGCAGGUGUUGUGGAGAAGAUGAAAUAAAUGAUCACAUCCUGUACAUUUGCAAGGUUGAUUUGAAAUUUGAGUAUCUCUAAGAUGGGUUUGCUUUAGGUAAUGCCUCGUUGCCAAAAUGAUUUCUUGCUAUCUUUGCGACACUUGAUUCAUAAGAGUUAUUAUCCGGAUUUGUGGCUGAGUUUACGGGUUUUUGCAACUUGUAAUCUUCUGAAGAGCAGGAACUUACGUAUUUUUCAGAGGAAGUUCACUUCUUUUCAUGACGUGGUGUUUGAUAGUUUUACUCUGACUUUGAACUUCUACAAAUAUUCGAAGCUAUCUUUUCCUUAUUACAGUUUUAAAUUCUUUAGAAGUUCGGAUUGUAUUUUACUCAGGUUAUGUCGAAUGGAAUUUAUCCAAGCAUAGAGCAUAGAGCAGUAGUUGACUCAGUAAAAGAGAGAAUUUCAAUUGCCACAUUUUAUAGUCCAAGACUGGAUGCAGAGAUCGGUCCGAUGCCGAGUCUGAUUACUCCCC